rnacentral:rRNA from 1 species
CACGUAGGGUGCGAGCGUUGUCCGGAAUUAUUGGGCGUAAAGAGCUCGUAGGCGGUGUGUCACGUCGGCCGUGAAAACCUGCAGCUUAACUGUGGGCGUGCGGUCGAUACGGGCAUCACUGGAGUUCGGCAGGGGAGACUGGAAUUCCUGGUGUAGCGGUGAAAUGCGCAGAUAUCAGGAGGAACACCGGUGGCGAAGGCGGGUCUCUGGGCAGUAACUGACGCUGAGGAGCGAAAGCGUGGGGAGCGAACAGG